CUUCACGCCCACCUCGCCGUCGAGGCCGCCAGACCCGCGCUAGUAUGAUCCACCAUUUCAUCAUCCCGUUUUCCCCUCCCAUCUUUCCCCCAGAUCAGGAGAUAUUCUGCUCUGCUCGCCUCGGCCAGGAUCCGAUCGUGGAUGCCCUCCCGCGCGCUUCGUCUAUCAUCGGGGCUCCUAGGGACCUUGUGGGUCGAUGGCUCGAUAUGAUGCGCUGUGUCAUCCGUCCUGGUCAUCAGCUGGCCUUUCCCUUCCUUCUUACCGGCUGCCUAAGAUGGGUGCUGCUCUGCCCAAUCUGGUUUCCUCCUCGCCUGAUCUGCGUGUGUGGAUCAGUUGCCCGGCCGUUGUCAGUUCAUUGUGUGCAGCCUUCCCGGUUAUGUAUGAAUUGACGAGCAGGAAGACACGUUAGGGAGAUUCAGCAGGCAGGUUAGUGCCCAGUGCCAUGGUUAAGAUAAAAAGGUAGGUUAUGGAGGAAUCAUGUCAGCAGAUUGAGCAAGCAAGUCAGGAGAGGGACAAAUAGUCCAGAUUACCUGAAAGGGAAUGGAAAGCAAUACUAGGGGAGUCCAGGUCUAAUCUAUAUGGCGAUCGGUGUGAUGAUUUUUAUGGUGAUGGGCGUGAUGAUAUCUAUGGCGACUAUGAUGAGGAGUCUUGUAGUUUGGAAAAUUUAGCUUAUGCAACGUGUUUGGGUCUUUAUCUUUACUAUAUCUUAGUCACAAUUUUGUUUUGCACAACACUUCCUAGAUUGAUCUUAUACUUUAAAUGUAAUGAUGUUCUUUUGUUAGUGCGGC